rnacentral:rRNA from 1 species
UAGGGAAUCUUCCGCAAUGGACGCAAGUCUGACGGAGCAACGCCGCGUGAGUGAAGAAGGAUUUCGGUUCGUAAAACUCUGUUGUUAGAGAAGAACAGCGCAUAGAGUAACUGUUAUGCGUGUGACGGUAUCUAACCAGAAAGCCACGUCUAACUACGUGCCAGCAGCCGCGGUAAUACGUAGGUGGCAAGCGUUGUCCGGAUUUAUUGGGCGUAAAGCGAGCGCAGGCGGUCAAUUAAGUCUGAUGUGAAAGCCCCCGGCUCAACCGGGGAGGGUCAUUGGAAACUGGUUGACUUGAGUGCAGAAGAGGAGAGUGGAAUUCCAUGUGUAGCGGUGAAAUGCGUAGAUAUAUGGAGGAACACCAGUGGCGAAGGCGACUCUCUGGUCUGUAACUGACGCUGAGGCUCGAAAGCGUGGGUAGCAAACAGG